CGUUUGACAACCGUUUGAGGUACACAUAUCAAAGAGGAUGGAGUUACCAAUCAAUUCUGUUUCGUAAAAUACUAGACAAACAUAAAAUUCUCGAACAGUUUAACGAAAAAAAAUCGAACCGUCAGAUUAGCCAAUUACACUGCAUUAUUUGAUUUACAGACACCUUCCAAAAAGUGCUUCAAAGUAGCUCUCACGGCUGAAUACAUAUGUCGAAAACCAAGUAGUUGUGUGUUUAAAGCUGCCAAACGACUAUUUUCUUGCCUCUAAUGUGCAACUAAUUUAUUAACUAUUUAACUUAAUUCUCAAUAUGGGGGAACAGCCAAUCUUUUCCUGCAACGCACACGUAUUUCAUAUUGAUCCUAAAACUAAAAGAACAUGGAUAACGGCUAGCUCGAAAGCUAUUUCUGUUAGUUUUUUUUACGAUUCAUCUAGAAAUCUUUAUCGCAUUAUUAGCGUAGAAGGAAGUAAGGCUGUCAUCAAUUCCACAAUAACGCCCAAUAUGACCUUCACACAGACAUCACAGAAAUUUGGCCAAUGGAGUGAUGUGCGAGCCAAUACAGUGUAUGGUUUAGGAUUCGCCUCCGAGGCGGAGCUUGGCAAGUUCAUCGAAAAAUUUCAAGAAGUUAAAGAAGCUACAAAGAAUGCGCUUAAUAAAUCAUCAGCUAAUGGCAAUUCAGCUGUCACAUCUGCAAACGCUUCUCCUGUUACUGCACGGUCGUCAAUGUCGAACAGUGAUAGCUUUGAUCCGAAUAACAUUGAAGCCCCGAUUACUCCUGCUAGUAACGUAACCGCAACUACCAAAACGGAUAGCCCAUCUCAUCCUACGACUAACGAUGCUCUCAACAAUGCCAAUCCGCUCAGUACAGAUUUAAAGCAAAUAUCUAUAAACUCUUCAUCCAGUGAUGGCAUGACUACUUCAACCGCUGAGCAGCAACUGAAAUAUGAAAAUGAACGAUUAAAACUGGCUCUGGCACAAAGCUCCGCUAAUGCCAAAAAGUGGGAAAUAGAGUUAGCUACCCUGAAAAGUAACAACAUUCGCUUGACGAGCGCUCUACAGGAAUCUACUGCCAACGUAGAUGAAUGGAAACGUCAGUUACAUUCGUACAAGGAAGAAAGUCAACGUAUGAAGGCCCGUUACCAGGAAUUAGAGGCAUCAAAAGGGGGUACUGUCGGCAGCAAUAAUAGUGGACCUAAUGCAGGGAGUACUGAAAUAACAGAUGAUCUUAGACAUGAAAUUUCUUUACUAAAAAGUAGAAUAGAAGAUUUAGAAAAGGAGUUAAUGAAUCAAGAAGUUGAACUGAAAGCCGCCAAUAAGAGUUUAAAAGAAAAACAAAAUGAUCCAACGGUCAAACAGCUUACAACGUUGUGCAACCAAUUCGGCGUACAUAUAAGCGAACUGAGUGGGCUCCAAAAAGAAAUGGAAAAAGUUAUACAGACUAAUCACAAGGCCACUUGAGAAUUAUACGAAAAGAAUAAUUUAAUAAAAACCUCGUCUGAGAAUGACAUCCACAAUACCGAAUACCACGUGAGUGGUAAUAGCCAACUCAUAGAAAACAAUAAUUCUAGCACUAACAACAACGACGAGAUUGACCCUAAAAUGGAUUACAAACAUUACAUACACACUAGCUGUAGCACAUCCGGCUGUCACAGCAACACAUACCAGCAGAUUAACGAUGCUGGACUCAUCGCCAGUUUGAAUGUAGUGCAAAUCAAUAAUGAACCGACUGCUGCAACAUUUACCUAUGAAUUGUACAAGAAUAGAAGAGGGAGCGAAAUGUUUUGAAUUUUAAUCUGGCUGGCGUAGUAUUGGAGUUUCUAUGUUGACCUUUGAUUAAGAUCCAUAGUGCAGGAGAUACUCACCUGGGAGUGAUGGUAAACAUAUGGCAAUACACAGAGUAAUUUACGCAAGUAAGUUUGAGAACGCCAUGCGAACGAGCAAAGCCUCUAUUAUCAUCAAGUACUGCGACUACAAUCGAAAUCGACACUAGUGGAUGGAAUCUACUACCAAAGAUCUACCAAGCACUGUGUUCGGAUUUGUUUCGGUAAACGUUGCAAAUAGUGGAGAAAGCUUCGUCGGACACGAAAAUGUACAAAAACUCAAAUUCUUGUUCGAUUUGGAAAAUCGUUAAACUUUUGGUCGACAAGCUGUGACUAUUCAAGCCGUCAUUCUGAACGGAGAUAAGGAUGAAAAGAUUCAAGAUGUAUUACCUGUUGACGUUGCUCCACUUUCGCUUUGGAACGCGGGUGGCGGGGUAACCAAGCCGAUCGAGCGGAACAGUCGAAUCCCAUAUGAACAAAAUCAGAUGUUCUCGGCUGUUGAAAAUUUCGGUGGGGAAAAUGAAAAAUAGAGAGUAAGGCACCACAAGAAAUUAACUCGAGAAUUGUUUUCAGUUGAAACGGUUGUAGCAGUCCGACGGCAAAACGAGUUACUCCGAUGGUUGAACGGAAAUGCAAUGUUCGAUAAGGACGAGUUUGUGCAUAGCAUGCAAGAACUAAACCGAGUUUGUAGUCCGUUAGUCUAGUAGGUGCAUCCAACAGACUGAUAGUUAUUAAAAACGAACAGGUGGGAUAGGCUCACUAAAAAAACUUAUCCUUAGCAGUUAGGACUAGAAAAAUUGACGCGAUUGAUUCUAAAUCAAGCUGAUUAUAUACCAAUAAUAAUGUAUGUGCGGUGUAAAGAGAAAAAUAAACAAGUUGAAGUACGAGAAACAUUUCCCUAUGAAAACAGUCACGGGCUCAAGUGCACAUGAUUACUUCACGUCGCUCUAUGUCAAUUAUGGAAGUACCAUCCUCUGCGUGUCGAGGUUCGAUUGGUAAGGUUGUAAAAUACUACGUGUCGGGAGGAUCCUGCGUCUUGGAGAUGGAUUAAUCGGUCCAACCGAAAGAAAAAUGUUUGCGAUCUGCUAGUUUCGGGCUAGUUGUUUUCUACCAGGGAUGCUCAUGGUGCGCGUGAUGCGGUGCACUUAAUUUUACUAUCAUCUAGAAAAAGAUAUCACCUACAAAUCAAGUCCACGAAGAUGCACCCAAAACUUCCGAUGUCAUUUCCGGUGCCGCGCCAGGCUAAAAUCAGUGUUAUUAACGUAUCCACUAUUUCUGCAGUUUGACUUUGAGGUUCCUAUUUUUUGACAGUGUUGAGUGAAUCAUUGAUGCGUCAUUGAUGCCAGAUCGAGUUAUGCAAUAGUAUGCAGCAAAAAUCUGAAAAGUCUGCAAGCUACUACAAGAUACUUGCGCAAGAAAAAUUGUGCCAUGAUAUAUUAAAUAAUACAAAAUGUUAAAUACUUGCUGCAAGUGGAUGGUGAAGCCUUUGUAUUACUAAAUAUCUGAAGUCUACAAAAAUUCUGCAGUUUAAUUCAAAACUCUGCAGAUUUGCUGUUGUAUUUGCAAAUUUGGCAUCUUUGUUUCAUUAUAGAUGAAGGGAUGACAAAUUCCCCACAUGAAGUUCAUCCGAAUGGUGUAAAAAUAUGGGGAAAUGGGGCAAGAUAGAUCACCAGCAUAUGGGGUUAAAUGAGCAGUUUGCCGAUUUUUUUUAUUUUUUCAAUAGUUAGAGGCACUUGAGCAUCGCGGCAAUAUGAAAUUUCGACUCAGGGGUAAAAAAGGAAGCAUUUUAGUAUAAAUUUUUUUUGACAAGAAACCUCUAUUCUUGGACAAGAUUUAGAGGACCAACCGUAAUCAACCGUAACACUGGCGGCGCGGAAUGCAUAUUUUAGGCAUGGUCGAAUUAGUGCAAAUUUAUAACACUGUACUGAAGUGUAUCGUACAGCUGAUACGGAAUGUAUAUACUGACAGUGACAGAUGUGACAACAUUAUAAAAACGACGCCCCCAUUAUUGGGUCGAAUCAAAGCUCGUCGAAAUAUCUAUUGUUUGCUCAUUGAGUGUAUUUUUUUUUUUUUGAAAUUAGAGGUUUAACCCUUACGGUCGAGUUUUUCACUUUCCCGAAAACUGGUUUUCAGUCAAAACCAGUUUCUGUAAGAUUUUCGUGAAAACUGGUUUUGAACAAAAAUGUAAACCAAAUCCAUUUCUUCACUGAGCUUUCAAUUGCAGUCGUAGAUUUCGUGGACUUCAAAACUGGUUUUACCGAAAAUCAGUUUUCGCAGUGAAAACAGUUUUCAAAGCUGUGAUCAUACUCCACUACAAAGACAUUGACGUUAAUGAGUAAAUAACUGAACUAGACUGAAUACAAAUGCAGUCAGUUUUCGGUGAAAACCGGUUUUCAUGCUCGUGAAGAAAUUGGCCGUUUCAUCCGUCUCUUUUUCAGGUUAGAAAAAUCUAUAGCACUAUAUGCUAGAAUAGGAAUCGAAUCCAGGUGAGCUGCGUAAAGGGCAACCGAUUUACCAAAUGCACUGUGCCCGCCCUCAUCAUUCUUGUUUACAUUUCGCUAUAGCGUUGCCAAGCAGAACGUUUUGUUUUAUACUUCGAACAGAUUUGUUUUAAAAUUUAAAACUUAUACGACGCUGUUCUAUUUCUUGCUGAUUUUUUUAUUUCGAUUAUAGAGGUUUUAACCUUAAGGUCAUUCACCUCUUCGGGUUAGAAAAAUAUCUUAUGAAAAAUUUCUAACCCUAUGUGCGGGGUCGGGACUCGAACCCAGGUGCGCUGCGUACAAGGCAAUCGAUUUACCAAAACGCUACGCCCACCCCCAUUGCUGAUUUUAAAACACGUUUAGAACUGUGUUUUAAAUACAUAGAGUAUUCACCAUACUUAGACCCGAUAGACUGGGGAAAAAUAAAUUUGAGUCUAGUAACGCUGAAGACAUGGAAAGACACGAAUUUUAAACUAACUAGAGCACCCGCUAAAACUGCUUCUGGGGACAGCAAGCAAAAUUAAGAAUCUAGAACUGAAACAUACCUGAACAUGCCCUAAUAAGGUUACACCACAUCGUUUUUUACGAUGUUUCUACAAAACUCCAAGUUACCAAAACUAGCAGAAAAAUAACUUAGUAAACGAAAGAUUCCAAAAGCUUUGCAUGGGCUUCCCUCUUUACAUCCCCUCGCAAGACCCUCACGCUCGUUUAGCUGCAUUUUUUGACAAUCCUUUUGGCUGCAUUUUUUUGACACUUAGCUAGUCUCUGUAUAGAGUGUCUGUAAUUUCGACGAGUUUUGAUUCGAGCCAAUAAUAGGGACCCCGAUGAACUCCAACGAUUUUGACACCUGGGCGCCAGUCAAUGUAGUGUAUUAGGUUCUUUACUGACACAGCUAACCUCACUUUUCUUGACAGUUCGCUUGUACUGUUUACAUGGACUUAGAAAAAUUUGUGGACGACUAGAUUCGCUCAAAGCAAAUCGUAAAGAAUUUUUCUAAGUCCAUGUAAACAGUACAAGCGAACUGUCAAAAAUGAACACUCAGUUCAUUUGUGACGUCACUGUAAAGUAUUCAAUACAAGUAUAGCGAAGAGUGCACUUUGGUAUUCGUAAGAUGAAUCUUACAUGAGUGGUGUGAGUGAUCACAGAAUAAAUCGACUUGCUUUCGUCAUAUUGUUCGUUCCACUCCUAUUGAAUCGUGUGAACGCUAUGACGUCGACCCGAUGUGCUUCUGGAUUGUUUACAUAUUUUUGGUUGCCGAAACUACAGACUCUCGUAGUAAUAGACCAGCGGAGGUACUUUUAUCGAGCCAAAUAAACUGUCAAAAUCCGGUGCCAAACGAGCAUGACGUCAAAUAAUGCAAACAAGCAGAACAAGUAUUGCGAUUUUAUUUAAAAAAAAUUAUUUUGUUAUUCACACUAGGCUUCACCUUUCA